UCCCAAGGAGAUCCUCUCUCCAGUGGACAAAUCAUAUCCCCCAAGAAUGUAGCCCCUUGGGAAGAUAUCUGACAUUCUUGAGAAUAUACAGGACGAGGGACUAUUCUUCUUCUAUUCUCUUUAUAUUGGUUGUAUAC